AAUAUAAAUUGCACUAGAAUGAUACAUUUAUGGAUUUUCAUUAAGGUAUUGUUUUCACUUCAUUCAACCCGCCUACCAGACACCCGCCCUUCAUCCACACAGUAUUUCAUGACCCUAAACACACAGAUUUAACCGUGGGGACUGCAGAUGAAACCCACACAUCACUAGUUGGUACCGCAACACUGUUACUAUCUAUUAGGUUGGUACCCCAACACUGUUACUAUCCAUUAGGUUGGUACCCCAACACUGUUACUAUCCAUUCUACCAUUAGGUUGGUACCCCAACACUGUUACUAUCCAUUCUACCAUUAGGUUGGUACCCCAACACUGUUACUAUCCAUUAGGUUGGUACCCCAACACUGUUACUAUCCAUUCUACCAUUAGGUUGGUACCCCAACACUGUUACUAUCCAUUCUACCAUUAGGUUGGUACCCCAACACUGUUACUAUCCAUUCUACCAUUAGGUUGGUACCCCAACACUGUUACUAUCCAUUCUACCAUUAGGUUGGUACCCCAACACUGUUACUAUCCAUUAGGUUGGUACCCCAACACUGUUACUAUCCAUUCUACCAUUAGGUUGGUACCCCAACACUGUUACUAUCCAUUCUACCAUUAGGUUGGUACCCCAACACUGUUACUAUCCAUUCUACCAUUCGGUUGGUACCCCAACACUGUUACUAUCCAUUCUAC